UGGGUAAUCCACUCUUUGGUGGGGAAUAACCCUGGGAAACCGGGGCUAAUACCGCAUAAGCCCCCAUUGAAUAAAUGGUGGGGAAAGGUGAAAAUCGCCGAAGAAGGAGCCCGCGGCUGAUUAGCUAGUUGGUGGGGUAAAAGCUCACCAAGGCGAAGAUCGGUAGCCGGCCUGAGAGGGCACACGGCCACACUGGCACUGAAACACGGGCCAGACUCCUACGGGAGGCAG
rnacentral:rRNA from 1 species